rnacentral:rRNA from 1 species
AAUCAACGCUGGCGGCGUGCCUCAGACAUGCAAGUCGAACGAUCAAGGCUCUCCGCGGAGAGUGCAUAGAGUGGCGCACGGGUGACUAACACGUAAGUAAUCUACCCUCGAGUGGGGAGUAACAGUUGGGAACGAGUGCUAAUACCGCAUAACGCAGCGGCACCGCAAGGCGAAGGGUGUUAACGGAGCAAUCCGUUUGAGGAGGAGCUUGCGGCAGAUUAGCUGGUUGGUAAGGUAAUGGCUUACCAAGGCUACGAUCUGGAUCCGGGCUGGGAGGACGGUCGGACACACUGAGACUGAAUAACGGGUCAGACUCCUACGGGAGGCAGCAGUCGGGAAUUUUGGGCAAUGGGCGAAAGCCUGACCCAGCAACGCCGCGUGAAGGAUGAAGUAUUUCGGUAUGUAAACUUCGAAAGAAUGGGAAGAAUGAAUGACGGUACCAUUUAUAAGCUCCGGCUAACUACGUGCCAGCAGCCGCGGUAAGAC